AUUGAACGCUGGCGGCAUGCUUUACACAUGCAAGUCGAACGGCAGCGCGGGCUUCGGCCUGGCGGCGAGUGGCGAACGGGUGAGUAAUACAUCGGAACGUGCCCAGUAGUGGGGGAUAGCUCGGCGAAAGCCGGAUUAAUACCGCAUACGACCUGAGGGUGAAAGCGGGGGAUCUUCGGACUUCGCGCUAUUGGAGCGGCCGAUGGCAGAUUAGCUAGUUGGUGGGGUAAAGGCCUACCAAGGCGACGAUCUGUAGCUGGUCUGAGAGGACGACCAGCCACACUGGGACUGAGACACGGCCCAGACUCCUACGGGAGGCAGCAGUGGGGAAUUUUGGACAAAGGGCGAAAGCCUGAUCCAGCAAUGCCGCGUGUGUGAUGAAGGCCUUCGGGUUUUAAAGCACUUUUGGCGGGAACGAAAAGGACUGUGCCAAUACCACGGUUCGAUGACGGUACCCGCAGAAUAAGCACCGGCUAACUACGUG
rnacentral:rRNA from 1 species